GUGCGUGAUAUGCGCUUGUUGACAGGUCAUUUUUGAUUUUGGCUUCUCCUGUGAUGCCAUAUUUCCUCUACGCAAUCCUCUUUAUCUUGUGUCAUGCCAGCCCAUCUGGGCAGCGAUAAUUGUCACCAAAGGUGCCAACAGACUAUUCUCCUUAACACUGCUCAACUCACCAAGAUCAUCAUCUUCUCAUUCCUUUCCCUUACCCCGUAGCGUUGGGCAUGUCAAUUGGGUGAUGGUCAAAGGAUUCCCACCUUUCAGAUACUUUGUCCCGAUGUAUCAAGUUCCCUCUCAUAUGUAUUUUCUAUGCCCACGGUUCUGUGAUGCACUUAGUUUCGUAUCAUAGAUCAAGGCAUGAAAAUUAUCCAGCCAAACUUCCUACCGAUUAGUCUUACAUAUUAGCCCAAGAAGCUCUCCUAUAUUUACAUGUUGAAUCGUUGCGUUGAGCAAUGACCUAACAUAUGCUGUCUUUGUUUAUAUCUUAUGUGGUAAACAUCUGAUGCUUCCUUAUUUCCCAUUCGGGACGGAUCGUCACAUCCCUUGAAAUCAGAUAUAUCACGCCUUGCGUGGAUUCCAGGAUGUUCUAGAGCACUCGUUAACGAUUUGAUGAAUGGAGUUUCUUCUGGCGGAGCAGCCUGUCGUUUGUUAUAGGACCA
rnacentral:sRNA from 1 species